ACAGUCAACACUUUCUAGCUUUCAGAAUAAUAAAAGCACCUGCAUUUAAUAUACAUGGAAGAAUGGGAAGGCAAAUAGCAGAUAAGGCACAAUCAGGAAAUGUUUUGAAUCAUUAGCCGAUCAGAAUAGUUUAGAUUGUGAGGCCCAGCUCCAGCCAAUGCAGUCAGGGCACGGCAGUAGGGGCCAGUCUGUAAGGGGAUCCAAGAUGGCUGAUCGCUAACAGCUC
rnacentral:lncRNA from 13 species